GCGGGGGUAGCUCAAUGGCAGAGCUCCAGCCUUCCAAGCUGGCGGUGCGGGUUCGAUUCCCGUCCCCCGCUCCA
rnacentral:tRNA from 4 species